rnacentral:rRNA from 1 species
GGUUAAGCGACUAAGCGUACACGGUGGAUGCCCUGGCAGUCAGAGGCGAUGAAGGACGUGCUAAUCUGCGAUAAGCGUCGGUGAGGUGAUAUGAACCGUUAUAACCGGCGAUUUCCGAAUGGGGAAACCCAGUGUGUUUCGACACACUAUCAUUAACUGAAUCCAUAGGUUAAUGAGGCGAACCGGGGGAACUGAAACAUCUAAGUACCCCGAGGAAAAGAAAUCAACCGAGAUUCCCCCAGUAGCGGCGAGCGAACGGGGAGGAGCCCAGAGCCUGAAUCAGUGUGUGUGUUAGUGGAAGCGUCUGGAAAGGCGUGCGAUAAAGGGUGACAGCCCCGUACACAAAAAUGCACAUAUUGUGAGCUCGAUGAGUAGGGCGGGACACGUGGUAUCCUGUCUGAAUAUGGGGGGACCAUCCUCCAAGGCUAAAUACUCCUGACUGACCGAUAGUGAACCAGUACCGUGAGGGAAAGGCGAAAAGAACCCCGGCGAGGGGAGUGAAAAAGAACCUGAAACCGUGUACGUACAAGCAGUGGGAGCCUCUUAAUGGGGUGACUGCGUACCUUUUGUAUAAUGGGUCAGCGACUUAUAUUCUGUAGCAAGGUUAACCGAAUAGGGGAGCCGAAGGGAAACCGAGUCUUAACUGGGCGUUAAGUUGCAGGGUAUAGACCCGAAACCCGGUGAUCUAGCCAUGGGCAGGUUGAAGGUUGGGUAACACUAACUGGAGGACCGAACCGACUAAUGUUGAAAAAUUAGCGGAUGACUUGUGGCUGGGGGUGAAAGGCCAAUCAAACCGGGAGAUAGCUGGUUCUCCCCGAAAGCUAUUUAGGUAGCGCCUCGUGAAUUCAUCUCCGGGGGUAGAGCACUGUUUCGGCAAGGGGGUCAUCCCGACUUACCAACCCGAUGCAAACUGCGAAUACCGGAGAAUGUUAUCACGGGAGACACACGGCGGGUGCUAACGUCCGUCGUGAAGAGGGAAACAACCCAGACCGCCAGCUAAGGUCCCAAAGUCAUGGUUAAGUGGGAAACGAUGUGGGAAGGCCCAGACAGCCAGGAUGUUGGCUUAGAAGCAGCCAUCAUUUAAAGAAAGCGUAAUAGCUCACUGGUCGAGUCGGCCUGCGCGGAAGAUGUAACGGGGCUAAACCAUGCACCGAAGCUGCGGCAGCGACACUAUGUGUUGUUGGGUAGGGGAGCGUUCUGUAAGCCUGUGAAGGUGGCCUGUGAGGGUUGCUGGAGGUAUCAGAAGUGCGAAUGCUGACAUAAGUAACGAUAAAGCGGGUGAAAAGCCCGCUCGCCGGAAGACCAAGGGUUCCUGUCCAACGUUAAUCGGGGCAGGGUGAGUCGACCCCUAAGGCGAGGCCGAAAGGCGUAGUCGAUGGGAAACAGGUUAAUAUUCCUGUACUUGGUGUUACUGCGAAGGGGGGACGGAGAAGGCUAUGUUGGCCGGGCGACGGUUGUCCCGGUUUAAGCGUGUAGGCUGGUUUUCCAGGCAAAUCCGGAAAACCAAGGCUGAGGCGUGAUGACGAGGCACUACGGUGCUGAAGCGACAAAUGCCCUGCUUCCAGGAAAAGCCUCUAAGCAUCAGGUAACAUCAAAUCGUACCCCAAACCGACACAGGUGGUCAGGUAGAGAAUACCAAGGCGCUUGAGAGAACUCGGGUGAAGGAACUAGGCAAAAUGGUGCCGUAACUUCGGGAGAAGGCACGCUGAUAUGUAGGUGAAGCGACUUGCUCGUGGAGCUGAAAUCAGUCGAAGAUACCAGCUGGCUGCAACUGUUUAUUAAAAACACAGCACUGUGCAAACACGAAAGUGGACGUAUACGGUGUGACGCCUGCCCGGUGCCGGAAGGUUAAUUGAUGGGGUUAGCGGCAACGCGAAGCUCUUGAUCGAAGCCCCGGUAAACGGCGGCCGUAACUAUAACGGUCCUAAGGUAGCGAAAUUCCUUGUCGGGUAAGUUCCGACCUGCACGAAUGGCGUAAUGAUGGCCAGGCUGUCUCCACCCGAGACUCAGUGAAAUUGAACUCGCUGUGAAGAUGCAGUGUACCCGCGGCAAGACGGAAAGACCCCGUGAACCUUUACUAUAGCUUGACACUGAACAUUGAGCCUUGAUGUGUAGGAUAGGUGGGAGGCUUUGAAGUGUGGACGCCAGUCUGCAUGGAGCCGACCUUGAAAUACCACCCUUUAAUGUUUGAUGUUCUAACGUUGGCCCGUAAUCCGGGUUGCGGACAGUGUCUGGUGGGUAGUUUGACUGGGGCGGUCUCCUCCUAAAGAGUAACGGAGGAGCACGAAGGUUGGCUAAUCCUGGUCGGACAUCAGGAGGUUAGUGCAAUGGCAUAAGCCAGCUUGACUGCGAGCGUGACGGCGCGAGCAGGUGCGAAAGCAGGUCAUAGUGAUCCGGUGGUUCUGAAUGGAAGGGCCAUCGCUCAACGGAUAAAAGGUACUCCGGGGAUAACAGGCUGAUACCGCCCAAGAGUUCAUAUCGACGGCGGUGUUUGGCACCUCGAUGUCGGCUCAUCACAUCCUGGGGCUGAAGUAGGUCCCAAGGGUAUGGCUGUUCGCCAUUUAAAGUGGUACGCGAGCUGGGUUUAGAACGUCGUGAGACAGUUCGGUCCCUAUCUGCCGUGGGCGCUGGAGAACUGAGGGGGGCUGCUCCUAGUACGAGAGGACCGGAGUGGACGCAUCACUGGUGUUCGGGUUGUCAUGCCAAUGGCACUGCCCGGUAGCUAAAUGCGGAAGAGAUAAGUGCUGAAAGCAUCUAAGCACGAAACUUGCCCCGAGAUGAGUUCUCCCUGACUCCUUGAGAGUCCUGAAGGAACGUUGAAGACGACGACGUUGAUAGGCCGGGUGUGUAAGCGCAGCGAUGCGUUGAGCUAACCGGUACUAAUGAACCGUGAGGCUUAACCUU